rnacentral:lncRNA from 1 species
AUCCAUCUGAGCACAGGCUUUGACUUGCCUUAGCAGCAAACUUUAGAGCAGACAGAAGAUGGAAUGGGGCUGACUGUGAACAGAAAUAUAAAGGUAUGCACAGAUGUAGGACUUUGUGAACUGCAUGGGGUAGGAGUCUUGAUUAGUGUUGCUGAGUAACAGAUUAAUUCCUUUAGCACUUUCCCGUAAACAUGUCUGACUGCUUAUGCAGGCAGGGGCUUUAAACCGAAUGCAUAACUUGAAUUCUGCCUCUCUUGUCCAUGUGAGCUGACAUCAGGUGUUCCUGCAGCCCAGUCCUUUUUUCUACUGUACCUGCCCUUCCCCUCAGUGGGGAUUUGUGCUCCAGACUGCCUCGCAGGACCAGUUUGCACAGGCUGUGAGAUCACAGCAGAGCUUUGCCUAUGUUUGCUCCCACCCAGAGAUCCAGGGGUGCAGCAGCUCUGGAUGGUGCUGUGGAACUGGAUGAUGAGCAGCAGCUCAGGUUUCCAGUACUGAAAGGGUUAGGGCUGCCUCCACUUCUGCCAACAGGAACCCUCCCAUUGAUUUUUCACUAGGAGCAAGUUCAGGCCCUUCUUCAGAAUGGCCUUUUUUUUAGCAGGGAGGUAAACCCUUUGUCUACAUCAUCACUGUCCUCUGCCAUGCUGGCCAUAGGUGGCAACAGUAAAGAUGACAUGAAAAGAAGUCACUGUGUUGCACUAGCAAGUGGGAAAAGUGCUGAGGUCUGCAUCACCCUAAAGAGCUGCCCAGUUCCCCGUGUGCCUGACCACUGGCCAAGAGGACAUCCAGAUCCAACCCCUGCAGGAAGGGGAGCUCUUCCCUUCCCUUUGGGUCAGCCAAAGUGGUUCUCCCCUUGCCCUGCAGGCAUGGAGCAGUGCAGAGAAUGAUCCUGCUCCAUCUGGGACACAGUGUGCCAGCAGUACUGGGGAAGGAAAAGGUUCUGUUCCUAACUGUGACCCUUGCUUUGACUUGUGUCUAUUGAUGGCAGCAAGGGCAGCUGCUGCUGGAGCUGGCAGUGCCUGAAAAGCUCUGUGCAUUCUGUUAAUGACUGAGCACUGAGAACCAUCAGCACUGUGACAUCUCAGACUGUGACUGAGAAAAAUCAGCAUGAACCUCAGCAUUAAAUUUUCCUCUUUGCGUAGUAUGCCCACGCAGCCUCAUGUAAAACUAAGUCAUUGAACUACCACCCUGGCUUAGCCAUAAGAGUUUGAGUCUCAUAUGCAGCACUGGGACCCCAUCACAGUGACAAGUGAUGGUGCUUCAGAGAGUAUUUCCUACAGGAGCUGUGUUCAAAUUUCUGCAAUUUCUACGUGGUUUCCAAAUUGAAAAUAUUCUGGUGGUGGAAUAAUACUUCUUUUCCAAUCUUUUGUUAUUCCCAGGUGCUUAAUUAAAUUUUAUGGGGACAAAAUAACAUGGUAUUUUAUGCACUGUUAUGAUGCGUGAGGUUUGUAAAAUUUAAUAAAAAAUUGGUGAAAGGACCUUGAGACA